GCUAGGCUGGGUACUUCUCGUUUGUAAUCUGCUGUUCUAAGCUUGUUGUUUUCAAACACAAUGUUUGCACUCAUUCGUUUCUUGGAUGAAUUUGAUGAGACACCUUAUGUUGUCUUUGCAAAGUCCAAAAAGGACUUUAAUUUGACGGACGAAAACGACUACGACAAGAAUGGCGUGUACAGCACGUACUGGGAGGACAAAGAAAAGUGCAAAAACUCUGGCAUCUAUUCAGCACAGAUAUUGCUGCUGGCAUACACCAGAGAGGAUCUUGAAAAGAAGCAGACAUCUGAUUUUGAGGCUGAAGACAAUACUGCAGCUUCAUCUGACAGGGUAUCAUUGAAGCAGGCACCUGGAAGGAGGAAACGCCAGUUGAGUGAUUCUGAUAGCGAUACAGACGAGUCCGUUGUCGUCAGUCGAGCUGAAGAGGGCAAAGACAGACGCAGCAUUCUGGCGGUGGCGCUACACUGAGGCUUGCCAGGAGAAGGAGAAGCUCACCAAUAUUAUUGAAUCAAUGCAGAGAACCAGUGAUGGCAAGCUAGCAGCAAUUCAACAGCUGCGAGAAGCACAGGGUCCUGCACUGCCGUCACAAGCAGGUGAACUUCGUUGUGUUCAAUGGCUGCCAGAACCAAGGAGCCCUAGGGUGAUGUCAGGAGCAGCAGAAUGUCACUUCGGUAGGUAAAUUAUGUUCUUAUUGUAAGGUGAGUAAGGUAUUAUAAAAGGUAGUUUACCUUAAUGGGCUCCUGAUGCCCCGAAAUAUUACUUAUUUUUAAUGUGCUUAUAAGUAGUGGUGCGCGAAUACCGAAUAGCAGUUAUCGAAUCGAAUUGAGAAAAAAGAGCCGAAUAUUGAAUCGGAUAUUGAAUAGUGAUUUUCUUUGUAGGAAUUUUUCAAGGUGUGCUGUGAAUGAGAUUAUUAUAUGUGCAGAAUAUGCACCUUGAAAGGAACAAAAGCUCAAAAACGAAAAAGAAAAAAGAAGCUGUUGAUGGACGUUGGGCACUAAAGAUUCAAUUUUACGGCGCAAACGUAAUUAUCUACCCUAAGCGUCACAAAAACAAGUUACAGCCACAUGUGCCUUUUUUGUUAAAAGCACGACCUAACACCUUGACAUGUCCUUUUUAUUAUAUUUGUAUAUCUAAAAAAAGGGGCAUUUUGCGAUAUUUGGUCUUAAUUUUAACAAAGAAAAAGGGCACCCGGGAUUUUAUUUUAUAUAAAUAAACAGAAAGGUGUUAAAUCUAAGUAAACAGGCUUAAAUAAUAUAAUCUGAAGUAAGAAAAAAAAUGUGGUUAGGUGGCGCAAGUCACCGUCCAACUUCCGCUAUGCAUCCAUUCCUCCAUUGUGGUCAGUUUGCCUUGCUGCAUACCCGACCCGGAGGAAUAACACGGAGCCA
rnacentral:lncRNA from 1 species